rnacentral:rRNA from 1 species
CGGGGUGAGUAACGCGUGGAUAACCUGCCUCACACAGGGGGAUAACAGUUAGAAAUGACUGCUAAUACCGCAUAAGCGCACAGUACCGCAUGGUACAGUGUGAAAAACUCCGGUGGUGUGAGAUGGAUCCGCGUCUGAUUAGGUAGUUGGUGGGGCAACGGCCCACCAAGCCGACGAUCAGUAGCCGACCUGAGAGGGUGACCGGCCACAUUGGGACUGAGACACGGCCCAA